GACGAACGCUGGCGGCGUGCCUAAUACAUGCAAGUUGAGCGAUGAAGAUUGGUGUUUGCACCAAUUUGAAGAGCAGCGAACGGGUGAGUAACGCGUGGGGAAUCUGCCUUUGAGCGGGGGACAACAUUUGGAAACGAAUGCUAAUACCGCAUAACAACUUUAAACAUAAGUUUUAAGUUUGAAAGAUGCAAUUGCAUCACUCAAAGAUGAUCCCGCGUUGUAUUAGCUAGUUGGUGAGGUAAAGGCUCACCAAGGCGAUGAUACAUAGCCGACCUGAGAGGGUGAUCGGCCACAUUGGGACUGAGACACGGCCCAAACUCCUACGGGAGGCAGCAGUAGGGAAUCUUCGGCAAUGGACGAAAGUCUGACCGAGCAACGCCGCGUGAGUGAAGAAGGUUUUCGGAUCGUAAAACUCUGUUGGUAGAGAAGAACGUUGGUGAGAGUGGAAAGCUCAUCAAGUGACGGUAACUACCCAGAAAGGGACGGCUAACUACGUG
rnacentral:rRNA from 1 species